UGAUGUUGCACCAGCCUGAGGGGCGGUGUGCGUUCUCCGGGAGUUGACCCUGGAUCCCAUGACCCUGGCAGUGGCGGGGUGCACAGGCUUCCCAGAAGGGGGGUGUGGAUAGUGACUUGUGCUCGCACACAGGCUUCUUGGUGGCGGCAGCAGCAGCCUUAGCGUCUCAUGCCUGUCUCUGGGUUCCGUGCUUUUAGCCACAGCUCGAACCCGUCUCUGGAGCUCCUUUAAGCAGCGCUCUUAAUCCCCUCUCCUCGCACACCAGGAAACAAAGAGUACGUGAGCCUCUCACUGUUGUGGCCUCUCCCGUUGCAGAGCACAGGCUCCAGACGCGCAGGCCCAGUGGCCAUGGCUCACAGGCCCAGCCGCUCCAUGGCACGAGGGAUUCUCCCAGACGGGGGCACGAACCCGUGUCCCCUGCAUUGGCAGGCGGACUCUCAACCACUGUGCCACCAGCUCCUGGUGUUCAGCUUUGAAUUUGGCCACACCUCUGUAUGUAGGUUGUCCUCUGGUGUCUGUUCUUCACCCAGAUGGGAGGGGUUUUAAGAAGCGGCUGAUUAAGCGGCUCUGGCUCACUCAGGCGGGAUGAAGAAAGUACAACAGAGAGAGAUUGAGUGACUUGUCCACAAUCACACUGAUAAAGAAGAGAGACCUGGCAAGUUGACCAAAGUUAACUGUCUCCAGAGCUCAGAUCGGCAUGCUUUUCAGUGCAGAUUCAGGACACUUCCCGACUCCUGUUCACCUGCCUUCCUCAAACUGGGCUUAUGCUGAAGCUAAGGCCAGCUGAUGGGUGACACGUCUCUGCUCCCGGCACUGCCCUCCUCCUCAGCUUCCCCAAUACUGAGAAGUGGUAAGAAUGUGCAGUAAAUUGCCUUGGACUUGACCCAAGAACCCUUGGUUACCUGUAGGACUGUGUCCAAGGGCAAGGAAAAGGAAUCUAUAUUUG